rnacentral:sRNA from 1 species
GGCUGGUCUGAAGGUAGUGAGUUAUUUCAACUUGAUUGUUCACAAUCACUUAUAGACUGACUUUGCCUCUU